rnacentral:misc_RNA from 1 species
CGACAUCAUGCGCGGACUUGAUCUGGGACUCACGCACUUCAAGUUUUUCCCCGCCGAGACGAGCGGCGGCCUCAAGGCGCUGAAGGCGCUGGCGGGACCGUUCGGUCAAUGCCGAUUCUGCCCGACUGGCGGCAUCACCGAGGCGAGCGCGCCGGAGUGGCUGGCGUUCGGGCCGGUGCUGUGCGUGGGCGG